UACGUAGGCAGCAAGCGUUGUUCGGAAUUACUGGGCGUAAAGCGCACGUAGGCGGCUUUGUAAGUUAGAGGUGAAAGCCCGGGGCUCAACUCCGGAAUUGCCUUCAAGACUGCAUCGCUAGAAUUGUGGAGAGGUAAGUGGAAUUCCGAGUGUAGAGGUGAAAUUCGUAGAUAUUCGGAAGAACACCAGUGGCGAAGGCGACUUACUGGACACAUAUUGACGCUGAGGUGCGAAAGCGUGGGGAGCAAACAGG
rnacentral:rRNA from 1 species